rnacentral:misc_RNA from 1 species
GAUGAAGAACGCAGCGAAAUGCGAUACGUAAUGUGAAUUGCAGAAUUCAGUGAAUCAUCGAAUCUUUGAACGCACAUUGCGCCCGCUAGUAUUCUGGCGGGCAUGCCUGUCCGAGCGUCAUUUCAACCCAUCAAGCUUAGCGCUUGUGUUGGAGCCCUGCAGCCGCCGCAGCCUCCUAAAAUCAGUGGCGGGCUCGCUAUCACGCUGAGUGCAGUAGUAUUCUUCUCACUCCUGUGGUGUAGCGGGUAACCAGCCGUAAACCCCCCCAUCUAUAAAGGUUGACCUCGGAUCAGGUAGGAAUACCCGCUGAACUUAAGCAUAUCAAUAAGCGGAGGA